rnacentral:rRNA from 1 species
CCUACGGGUGGCAGCAGUGAGGAAUAUUGGUCAAUGGGCGGAAGCCUGAACCAGCCAAGUAGCGUGCGGGAUGAAGGCCCUACGGGUCGUAAACCGCUUUUGCACGGGGAUAACACCCUCCACUUGUUGAGGUCUGCAGGUACCGUGCGAGUAAGGGCCGGCUAAUUCCGUUCCAGCAGCCCAGGUAAUAGGGAAGGCCGGAGGGUUUUCCGUAUUCGUUGGGCUUAGAGGGAGCGUAGGCGGGCGUUCAAGUCAGCUGUAAAAUCGCGCGGCUCAACCGCGCCCCGCAGUUGAAACUGGACGCCUUGAGUUCACAACAGGCAGGCGGAAUUCGUGGUGUAGCGGUGAAAUGCAUAGAUAUCACGAGGAACCCCGAUUGCGAAGGCGGCCUGCCGGGGUGCGACUGACGCUGAGGCUCGAAGGUGUGGGUAUCAAACAGGAUUAGAUACCCUUGUAGUC